rnacentral:rRNA from 1 species
GAUGAACGCUGGCGGCGUGCCUAAUACAUGCAAGUCGAGCGAACAGACGAGGAGCUUGCUCCUCUGACGUUAGCGGCGGACGGGUGAGUAACACGUGGAUAACCUACCUAUAAGACUGGGAUAACUUCGGGAAACCGGAGCUAAUACCGGAUAAUAUAUUGAACCGCAUGGUUCAAUAGUGAAAGACGGUUUUGCUGUCACUUAUAGAUGGAUCCGCGCCGCAUUAGCUAGUUGGUAAGGUAACGGCUUACCAAGGCGACGAUGCGUAGCCGACCUGAGAGGGUGAUCGGCCACACUGGAACUGAGACACGGUCCAGACUCCGACGGGAGGCAGCAGUAGGGAAUCUUCCGCAAUGGGCGAAAGCCUGACGGAGCAACGCCGCGUGAGUGAUGAAGGUCUUCGGAUCGUAAAACUCUGUUAUUAGGGAAGAACAAAUGUGUAAGUAACGAUGCACGUCUUGACGGUACCUAAUCAGAAAGCCACGGCUAACUACGU